CUAAGGGCACACGGUGGAUGCCUUGGCGCAUCGAGGCGAUGAAGGACGUGGCAAGCUGCGAUAAGCGGCGGUGAGGAGCAAGCAUCCUGUGACCCGCCGAUCUCCGAAUGGGGGAACCCGCGUAGGUCAACCCUACGCAUCCCGGCCUGAAUCCAUAGGGCACGGGAGGCGAACCCGGGGAAGUGAACCAUCUCAGUACCCGGAGGAAAAGAAAACAACAUGUGAUUCCGUCAGUAGCGGCGAGCGAACGCGGAAGAGCCUAAACCAACCGGACUGCGGUUCGGUUGGGGUCGUGGGAUCGGACACAUGGGAGUUACCAAAGCUCAGGUUAGCGGAAGUCGCUGGAAAGCGGCACCAUAGAGCGUGAUAGUCGCGUACGCGAAAACCUCGAGCUCUCCCGUCCGACACCCGAGUAACACGGGACACGAGGAAUCCUGUGUGAAUCUGCCGGGACCACCCGGUAAGGCUAAAUACUCCGAUGCGACCGAUAGUGAACUAGUACCGUGAGGGAAAGGUGAAAAGCACCCCGGUGAGGGGAGUGAAAUAGACCUGAAACCGUGUGCUUACAAGCAGUGGGAGGCGCCUUCUGGCGCUGACCGCGUGCCUUUUGCAUAAUGAGCCGGCUAGUUCGUGUCACAGGCGAGGUUAAGCCGAUGAGGCGAAGCCGAAGCGAAAGCGAGUCUGAACAGGGCGUUGAGUCUGUGGCACGAGGACGCGAAGCGAGAUGAUCUAGGCAUGGCCAGGAUGAAGCCGAGGUAACACUCGGUGGAGGUCCGAACCAGUGUGGGUUGAAAACCGCUUGGAUGAGCUGUGCCUAGGGGUGAAAGGCUAAUCAAAUCUCGUGAUAGCUCGUUCUCGCCGAAAUGGUUUUAGGGCCAGCCUCGGAGAGAGCGUCGCGGUGGUAGAGCACUGAAUGGGCUAGGGGCCCCACAGGGUUACCGAACCCAAUCAAACUCCGAAUGCCGCGCUACGCGUUCUCCGGGAGUGAGACCGUGGGGGCUAAGCUCCAUGGUCGAGAGGGAAACAACCCAGACCGACAACUAAGGCCCCAAAGUCGUGGUUAAGUGGAAAAGGAGGUGGGGACGCCCUGACAGCCAGGAGGUUUGCUUAGAAGCAGCAAUCCUUUAAAGAAAGCGUAAUAGCUCACUGGUCAAGCGGCCCUGCACCGACAAUUCAACGGGGCUUAAACCACGCGCCGAAGUUUCGGAUCGCAAAGAUCACAGAUCUUUGUGAUGGUAGGCGAGCAUUCCGUAGCUGCGAAGCGGCACCGAAAGGGCCGUUGGAGCGAUCGGAAAAGACUCUGUCGGCAUAAGUAGCGAUAACGCGGGCGAGAACCCCGCGCGCCGAAAACCUAAGGUUUCCUCUGUCAAGUUAAUCUGCAGAGGGUAAGUCGGUCCCUAAGGCGAGGCCGAAAGGCGUAGCCGAUGGACACACGGUUAAUAUUCCGUGACCUCCGUAGGAGAUACCGAUGCGGGGACGCAGCUUCGAGCUCGCUGGGGGCAAUGGUUUCCUCCAGUGGGGGAGAAGAGGGCUGGAUAGGCAAAUCCGCCGGCUCGUCUGCCAGGAAAAGCCGCUAAGGGCCGAAGGAGUCCGUACCACAAACCGACACAGGUGGUCGAGAUGAAUAUUCUCAGGCGCUCGGGUGAUGGGUUGUUCAGGAACUAGGCAAAUUGACCCCGUAACUUCGGGAGAAGGGGUGCCCGCUUCACGGUGGGCCGCAGAGAAUAGCGCAGGGCGACUGUUUAACAAAAACACAGGUCUCUGCAAAGUCACAAAAACGACGUAUAGGGGCUGACGCCUGCCCGGUGCCGGAAGGUUAAAGGGAGAGGUUAGCCGCAAGGCGAAGCUUCGAACUGAAGCCCCGGUGAACGGCGGCCGUAACUAUAACGGUCCUAAGGUAGCGAAAUUCCUUGUCGGGUAAGUUCCGACCUGCACGAAUGGCGUAACGAUCCUGCGACUGUCGUAACAACCCGCCCGGCGAACUUGUGGUCCCGGUGAAGACGCCGGGUGCCCGCCACUAGACGGAAAGACCCCGUGCACCUUUACUACACCCUACCAGUGAACUAUGGGGCGGUUUGCGCAGGAUAGGUGGGAGGCUUUGAACCCUGGCUUUCGGGCUGGGGGGAGCCGACGGUGAGAUACCACCCUAAUCGUUCUGUGGUUCUAACCUGCUCCCGUGAUCCGGGAGAGGGACCCUGGUAGGCGGGUAGUUUGACUGGGGCGGUCGCCUCCUAAACGGUAACGGAGGCGUGCGAAGCUCGGCUCAGGCUGUUUGGAAAUCAGCCGCGGAGUGCAAAGGCAUAAGCCGGGUUGACUGCGAGACUUACAAGUCAAGCAGGUGCGAAAGCAGGCCUUAGUGAUCCGGUGGUUCUGUAUGGAAGGGCCAUCGCUCAACGGAUAAAAGGUACGCCGGGGAUAACAGGCUGAUCGGAGCCAAGAGUUCACAUCGACGACCCGGUUUGGCACCUCGAUGUCGGCUCAUCGCAUCCUGGGGGUGAAGAAGCUCCCAAGGGUUGGGCUGUUCGCCCAUUAAAGCGGUACGUGAGCUGGGUUCAGAACGUCGCGAGACAGUUCGGUCCCUAUCUGUGGUGGGCGCAGGAGACUUGAGGGGUGCUGUCCUUAGUACGAGAGGAUCGGGGUGGACGAACCUCUUGUGAUCCAGUUGUCACGCCAGUGGCAUAGCUGGGUAGCGAAGUUCGGUCGGGAUAAGCGCUGAACGCAUAUAAGCGCGAAGCCCUCCCCAAGAUAAGGUCUCCCAAGCCGCAAGGCUAAGAAGGGCCCUGGAAGACUACCAGGUUGAUAGGGCGGAUGUGUAAGCAUGGCAACAUGCUGAGCUAACCGCUACUAAUAGCCCGUUCGGCUUGACC
rnacentral:rRNA from 1 species